GCGCUGAGUGGGUCUUCGAAUCAUGUCUGGUGGCUCCGCGGAUUAUAAGAGAGAACAUGGAGGCCCAGAGGGAAUGGACCCUGAUGGUGUCAUCGAGAGCAACUGGAAUGAGAUUGUUGAUAACUUUGACGAUAUGAAUUUAAAGGAGUCUCUUCUUCUGCUUAUGGUUUUGAGAAGCCUGCAGCUAUUCAACAGAGAGCUAUUAUUCCUUGUAUUAAAGGGUAUGAUGUGAUUGCUCAAGCUCAGUCAGGUACUGGCAAGACAGCCACAUUUGCUAUUUCCAUCCUGCAACAGUUGGAGAUUGAGUUCAAGAAGACCCAAGCACUAGUAUUGGCCCCCACCAGAGAACUGGCUCAACAGAUCCAAAAGGUAAUUCUGGCACUUGGAGACUAUAUGGGAGCAACUUGUCAUGCCUGCAUUGGUGGAACCAAUGUUCGGAAUGAAAUGCAAAAACUGCAGGCUGAAGCACCACACAUUGUUGUUGGUACACCAGGGAGAGUAUUUGAUAUGUUAAACAGAAGAUAUCUUUCUCCAAAAUGGAUCGAAAUGUUUGUUUUGGAUGAAGCAGAUGAAAUGUUGAGCCGAGGGUUUAAGGAUCAAAUCUAUGAGAUUUUCCAAAAAUUAAAUACAAGUAUUCAGGUUGUGUUGCUUUCUGCCACAAUGCCAACUGAUGUGUUGGAAGUGACCAAAAAAUUCAUGAGAGAUCCAAUUCGAAUUCUGGUGAAAAAGGAAGAACUGACCCUUGAAGGAAUCAAACAGUUUUAUAUUAAUGUUGAAAGAGAGGAAUGGAAGUUGGAUACACUUUGUGACUUGUACGAGACACUGACGAUUACUCAGGCUGUUAUUUUUCUCAAUACAAGGCACAAGGUGGACUGGCUCACUGAGAAAAUGCAUGCCAGGGACUUCACAGUUUCUGCUCUGCAUGGUGACAUGGACCAGAAGGAAAGAGAUGUUAUCAUGAGGGAAUUCCGAUCAGGGUCAAGCCGUGUUUUGAUCACUACUGAUUUGUUGGCUCAUGGGAUUGAUGUGCAACAAGUGUCAUUGGUUAUAAACUAUGAUCUACCUACCAAUCGUGAAAACUGUAUUCACAGAAUUGGCAGAGGGGGUCGAUUUGCGAGGAAAGGUGUGGCUAUAAACUUUGUUACUGAAGAAGACAAGAGGAUUCUUCGUGACAUUGAGACUUUCUACAAUACUACAGUGGAGGAAAUGCCAAUGAAUGUGGCUGACCUUAUUUAAUUCCUGGGAUGAGAUAGUUUUGAAUGCAGUGCUCGCUGUUGCUGAAUAGGCGAUCACAAUGUGCAUUGUGCUUCUUUCUUUGCAAAUAUUUGAAUCUUGUCUCAAUGCUCAUAACGGAUCAGAAAUACAGAUUUUGAUAGCCAAGCGACUUUAGUCGUGAGCUCUUGUGAGGAAAGGCAUUGGCUUUAUCCUCUUUAGAGUUAGACUGUUGGGGUUGGGUAUAAAAGAUGGGGUCUGUAAAAUCUUUCUUUCUUAGAAAUUUAUUUCCUAGUUCUGUAGAAAUGGUUGUAUUAGAUGUUCUCUAUCAUUUAAUAAUAUACUUGUGGACUAAAAGAUAUAAGUGCUGUAUAAAAUCAGCCAAUUAUGUUAAACUAGCAUAUCUGCCUUUAUUGUGUUUGUCAUUAGCCUGAAUAGAAAGGCCUUUAAAAUUGAUUUUUUUUUUUAGAAAGCAUUUGAAUGCAUUUUGUUUGGUAUUGUAUUUAUUCAAUAACGUAUUUAAUUAGU